rnacentral:rRNA from 1 species
UUCGGGGGGGGCAAGCGUUGUUCGGAAUCACUGGGCGUAAAGCGCACGUAGGCGGAUCUUUAAGUCAGGGGUGAAAUCCCGAGGCUCAACCUCGGAACUGCCUUUGAUACUGGGGAUCUCGAGUCCGGGAGAGGUGAGUGGAACUCCGAGUGUAGAGGUGAAAUUCGUAGAUAUUCGGAAGAACACCAGUGGCGAAGGCGGCUCACUGGCCCGGUACUGACGCUGAUGUGCGAAAGCGUGGGAGCAAACAGG